rnacentral:rRNA from 1 species
CUGGCGGCGUGCCUAAUACAUGCAAGUCGAACGGUCUUUCUAUGGAAGCUUGCUUCCACUGAGAAGAUAGUGGCGAACGGGUGAGUAACACGUGGGUAACCUGCCCAUAAGAGGGGGAUAACAUCCGGAAACGGGUGCUAAUACCGCAUAGUUUUCUUGAUCGCAUGAUCGGGAAAGGAAAGACGGCCUUUGUGCUGUCGCUUAUGGAUGGACCCGCGGCGUAUUAGUUAGUUGGUGAGGUAACGGCUCACCAAGACGAUGAUACGUAGCCGACCUGAGAGGGUGAUCGGCCACAUUGGGACUGAGACACGGCCCAAACUCCUACGGGAGGCAGCAGUAGGGAAUCUUCCGCAAUGGACGAAAGUCUGACGGAGCAACGCCGCGUGAGUGAAGAAAGGUUUUCGGAUCGUAAAACUCUGUUGUCAGAGAAGAACAAGUUGGAGAGUAACUGCUCCAGCCUUGACGGUAUCUGACCAGAAAGCCACGGCUAACUACGUGCCAGCCGCCGC